rnacentral:rRNA from 1 species
UACGUAGGGUGCGAGCGUUAAUCGGAAUUACUGGGCGUAAAGUGUGCGCAGGCGGCCGCGCAAGUCGAGUGUGAAAGCCCCGAGCUUAACUUGGGAAUUGCGCUCGAAACUACGUGGCUGGAGUGUGGCAGAGGAAGGUGGAAUUCCACGUGUAGCGGUGAAAUGCGUAGAGAUGUGGAGGAACACCGAUGGCGAAGGCAGCCUUCUGGGCCAACACUGACGCUCAUGCACGAAAGCGUGGGGAGCGAACAGG